rnacentral:rRNA from 1 species
CCUACGGGUGACAGCAGUGAGGAAUAUUGGUCAAUGGGCGGAAGCCUGAACCAGCCAAGUAGCGUGCAGGAUGACGGCCCUACGGGUUGUAAACUGCUUUUAUACGGGAAUAACGCGCCUUACGUGUAGGGCUUUGCAUGUACCGUAUGAAUAAGGACCGGCUAAUUCCGUGCCAGCAGCCGCGGUAAUACGGAAGGUCCGGGCGUUAUCCGGAUUUAUUGGGUUUAAAGGGAGCGUAGGCCGCAUGUCAAGCGUGCUGUGAAAUGUCCGGGCUCAACCCCGUACUGCCGUUGAAACUGCAUCCCUUGAGUGCGCGAGAAGUAUGCGGAAUGCGUGGUGUAGCGGUGAAAUGCAUAGAUAUCACGCAGAACUCCGAUUGCGAAGGCAGCAUACCGGCGCGCAACUGACGCUCAUGCACGAAAGCGUGGGUAUCGAACAGGAUUAGAUACCCGGGUAGUC